UACGAGGGGGGCGAGCGUUGUUCGGAAUUAUUGGGCGUAAAGGGUGCGUAGGCGGUUUGGUAAGUCUGGUGUGAAAUCUCACAGCUUAACUGUGAAACUGCAUUGGAUACUAUUCGGCUAGAGAGUUGGAGGGGGGACUGGAAUUCUUGGUGUAGCAGUGAAAUGCGUAGAUAUCAAGAGGAACACCAGUGGCGAAGGCGAGUCCCUGGACAGAUACUGACGCUGAGGCACGAAAGCUAGGGGAGCAAACAGG
rnacentral:rRNA from 1 species